GGAGAAGAAUGACAGGAAGACUCAGGACUGUUCUUAUGCGAAACUGCAGAAAUUAAACACCUCAGGAAAUGAAAAGCACAAAACUCUCAUUACAGUGGGAAGCUUCUCCCUGAUGACAGACUGAAGGGCGUCUCAUUGGUUAAGCUGGCAGACCAUCCUCAGCUGAUCUGUUUUGCCAUCUCAUUCUGUCUGCUGGGAAGACAACAAAAUGCGGGCAAGCAGCUGGUGGUGGAAUUAGGCUUUAUGUACUGAGUGUGGGAGAAGAUUUUCAGGCCUGGAGCUGUAAUUUGCUUGAUCUGGGCAUGUGAGCCACAAUUCUUAUCUGAAUCUAGCUUCUUUACAGCCUUUGAGACCCACCCAGGAUCAAAGAUGGGGUGACAUUUCCUUGCAUCCUCAUGGGAUCAAAGCUUGAUUUAGACUCAAACACAUAUUUGGCUGGAACAGCUGCUAUUCAAAUCCUCCUCUGAUGUCACAUCAUGUUAUGGGGUGACUUUGGAGUCCAUCUCAAGAGAUCUGAAAGCGGCAUGCAAGUUCAGGCAAUCCUGAAGACCAUAACAUUAAAGCUUGCUGAGUAAGAAGGAAAAUGAUUUAGUUUAUUGCCCUCAUCGUCCCUUCUGCACGUCCAAAGCUUUGUGCUUUGCUCUCACUAUUCCUUAGGCCUACAUCCCUUUCUCCACUGUCAAGCUAUGCCUGGAAAAAUCCUCCCUCCCCAUCCUUCAAGACCCUGCUCAAAUACCAUCUCCUUUAUGAUGCAUGAUCCUAUCAAUAAGAAAUUCUCUUUCCUUUGUCACACCUUGAAUAGCACUUUGCACGCCUUCUUUAACCUAUUCACCUUUUUAAUUUUUUUGUCAUUGUUGCACAAUUAUGUGUAUAUGUAUGUAUGUAUAAACACACAUACGUCUGUAUGUCUUCUCCCUUUGCUGGACUAUGAAUUCUGUGACAAUAGGAUUAUGUCUUAUUUAAUUAGUAU